UCCGUAAAUGCGCAUUCCUUUCCUCGCUCCCUGUUGCCCAGCUUGUAAGAUCCCAGUGGCUCACUGUGGAUGUAUUGGUCCUUAAUUCCCAAUAGCCUCGCCCUAUCUGGUGAUGAAAAUAAAAUCUGGAGGCAAAUUUGCUUUGAGAGCUGACUUUGACGUCAUAUAUAUGCUAAAGGAUCAGCACGUGUUAGAAAAGGAACAGGCGGAGAGUUAGAUGGCCUGGUUUUGAGUUUUGUCUUCGCCAUUCACCAAUUAGGUGACCUUGGGCAAGCCAUUCAGUCAGUUCCUCUGAGCCUCAGUUUCUUCAUCUAGAAGAUGUCCUAC
rnacentral:lncRNA from 1 species